UACGUAGGGGGCAAGCGUUGUCCGGAAUCAUUGGGCGUAAAGAGCGCGUAGGCGGCCCUGUAAGUCCGCUGUGAAAGUCAAGGGCUCAACCCUUGGAUGCCGGUGGAUACUGCAGGGCUAGAGUCCGGAAGAGGCGAGUGGAAUUCCUGGUGUAGCGGUGGAAUGCGAGCAGAUAUCAGGAGGAACACCGAUGGCGAAAGGCAGGUCACUAGGGCCGCGAACUGGACGACC
rnacentral:rRNA from 1 species